AUUGAACGCUGGCGGCAGGCCUAACACAUGCAAGUCGAACGAGUGGCGGACGGGUGAGUAAUGUCUGGGAAACUGCCUGAUGGAGGGGGAUAACUACUGGAAACGGUAGCUAAUACCGCAUACCAUCAGAUGUGCCCAGAUGGGAUUAGCUUGUUGGUGGGGUAAAGGCUCACCAAGGCGACGAUCACUAGCUGGUCUGAGAGGAUGACCAGCCACACUGGAACUGGUCCACGGUCCAUACGCCUACAGGAUGCAGCAGUGGGGAAUAUUGCACAAUGGGCGCAAGCCUUAGGCUGCGAUGCCGCGUGUAUGAAGAAGGCCGUCGGGUUGUAAAGUACGUUCAGCGGGGAGGCGUUAACCGCAGAAGAAGCACCGGCUAACACCGUGCCAGCAGCCGCGGUAAUUC
rnacentral:rRNA from 1 species